AAAGGGAGAACUUCGGGGAGUUUCUGAGAGGAAGACAAGAGCAGGAACCAGAACAAGAGGAAGAAAGAAGCUUCGGGCUAGGGAAAAAUCAAAACGGAGGCAGAGGAGAGUAAGAACCAGAAUCACCACUGCCGUCGACCACCGCCAGCGCCGCCACUUCACCGAAUCCACCAUCAUCACCGGCCAAUUUUCAUCAAGCAAGAGCACGUCGAUCUCAAGGACACCGCCAUCCCCGACUGCCUCCAGUCCUGCUGCCAGAAGAGCACCGCCGCUAGCAGUCCACCAUAAAUGCUAUUCAUACUAGCUUUUGGAAGAUAUCUAUGGUUAUGGUUGAAGAAUGUUGAAGACAAAAUUGCCUUUUGCUCAUGGAGUGGUUCAUUUAG